rnacentral:rRNA from 1 species
UACGAAGGGGGCUAGCGUUGUUCGGAAUUACUGGGCGUAAAGCGCGCGUAGGCGGACAUUUAAGUCAGGGGUGAAAUGCCGGGGCUCAACCUCGGAACUGCCUUUGAUACUGGAUGCCUGGAGUUCGGGAGAGGUGAGUGGAAUUCCGAGUGUAGAGGUGAAAUUCGUAGAUAUUCGGAAGAACACCAGUGGCGAAGGCGGCUCACUGGCCCGUUACCGACGCUCAGGCGCGACAGCGUGGGGAGCAAACAGG